rnacentral:rRNA from 1 species
GAGGAAUAUUGGUCAAUGGGCGCAAGCCUGAACCAGCCAAGUAGCGUGCAGGAAGACGGCCCUAUGGGUUGUAAACUGCUUUUAUACGAGAAUAAUUUGAUGCACGUGUGCGUUAUUGCAUGUAUCGUAUGAAUAAGGACCGGCUAAUUCCGUGCCAGCAGCCGCGGUAAUACGGAAGGUCCAGGCGUUAUCCGGAUUUAUUGGGUUUAAAGGGAGUGUAGGCGGUUUGUUAAGCGUGUUGUGAAAUUUAGGUGCUCAACAUUUAACUUGCAGCGCGAACUGUCAGACUUGAGUACACGCAACGUAUGCGGAAUUCAUGGUGUAGCGGUGAAAUGCUUAGAUAUCAUGAAGAACUCCGAUUGCGAAGGCAGCAUACGGGAGUGCAACUGACGCUUAAGCUCGAAGGUGCGGGUAUCGAACAGGAUUAGAUACCCUGGUAGUCCGCACAGUAAACGAUGGAUGCCCGCUGUUAGCGCCUGGCGUUAGCGGCUAAGCGAAAGCAUUAAGCAUCCCACCUGGGGAGUACGCCGGCAACGGUG